rnacentral:rRNA from 1 species
AGAGUUUGAUCAUGGCUCAGAUUGAACGCUGGCGGCAGGCCUAACACAUGCAAGUCGAACGGUAACAGGAAGAAGCUUGCUUCUUUGCUGACGAGUGGCGGACGGGUGAGUAAUGUCUGGGAAACUGCCUGAUGAGGGGGAUAACUACUGGAAACGGUAGCUAAUACCGCAUAACGUCGCAAGACCAAAGAGGGGGACCUUCGGGCCUCUUGCCAUCGGAUGUGCCCAGAUGGGAUUAGCUUGUUGGUGGGGUAACGGCUCACCAAGGCGACGAUCCCUAGCUGGUCUGAGAGGAUGACCAGCCACACUGGAACUGAGACACGGUCCAGACUCCUACGGGAGGCAGCAGUGGGGAAUAUUGCACAAUGGGCGCAAGCCUGAUGCAGCCAUGCCGCGUGUAUGAAGAAGGCCUUCGGGUUGUAAAGUACUUUCAGCGGGGAGGAAGGGAGUAAAGUUAAUACCUUUGCUCAUUGACGUUACCCGCAGAAGAAGCACCGGCUAACUCCGUGCCAGCAGCCGCGGUAAUACGGAGGGUGCAAGCGUUAAUCGGAAUUACUGGGCGUAAAGCGCACGCAGGCGGUUUGUUAAGUCAGAUGUGAAAUCCCCGGGCUCAACCUGGGAACUGCAUCUGAUACUGGCAAGCUUGAGUCUCGUAGAGGGGGGUAGAAUUCCAGGUGUAGCGGUGAAAUGCGUAGAGAUCUGGAGGAAUACCGGUGGCGAAGGCGGCCCCCUGGACGAAGACUGACGCUCAGGUGCGAAAGCGUGGGGAGCAAACAGGAUUAGAUACCCUGGUAGUCCACGCCGUAAACGAUGUCGACUUGGAGGUUGUGCCCUUGAGGCGUGGCUUCCGGAGCUAACGCGUUAAGUCGACCGCCUGGGGAGUACGGCCGCAAGGUUAAAACUCAAACGAAUUGACGGGGGCCCGCACAAGCGGUGGAGCAUGUGGUUUAAUUCGAUGCAACGCGAAGAACCUUACCUGGUCUUGACAUCCACAGAACUUUCCAGAGAUGGAUUGGUGCCUUCGGGAACUGUGAGACAGGUGCUGCAUGGCUGUCGUCAGCUCGUGUUGUGAAAUGUUGGGUUAAGUCCCGCAACGAGCGCAACCCUAUCCUUUGUUGCCAGCGGUCCGGCCGGGAACUCAAAGGAGACUGCCAGUGAUAAACUGGAGGAAGGUGGGGAUGACGUCAAGUCAUCAUGGCCCUUACGACCAGGGCUACACACGUGCUACAAUGGCGCAUACAAAGAGAAGCGACCUCGCGAGAGCAAGCGGACCUCAUAAAGUGCGUCGUAGUCCGGAUUGGAGUCUGCAACUCGACUCCAUGAAGUCGGAAUCGCUAGUAAUCGUGGAUCAGAAUGCCACGGUGAAUACGUUCCCGGGCCUUGUACACACCGCCCGUCACACCAUGGGAGUGGGUUGCAAAAGAAGUAGGUAGCUUAACCUUCGGGAGGGCGCUUACCACUUUGUGAUUCAUGACUGGGGUGAAGUCGUAACAAGGUAACCGUAGGGGAACCUGCGGUUGGAUCACCU